AAAUUAAGACCCGUAUGAAUGGUUAAAUGAAUAUUUAACUGUCUCCUUUAACUAAUCAGUGAAACUGAUCUUUCAGUACAAAAGCUGAAAUAAUAACAUAAGACGAGAAGACCCCGUGGAGCUUAAAACUUUUAACAAAAUAUUAUAAAGCACAUAUUUAUGCCAUAAGGUUUUUAGUUGGGGCGACUUUGGAGCAAAACCCAACCUCCAAGAAAAGGCACCACCUACACCAAGGCCCACAAGCCAAACUACAAAGACCCAGUAUCAAAUACUGAUCAACGAACCAAGUUACCCCAGGGAUAACAGCGCCAUCUUCUUCAAGAGUUCAUAUCGACAAGAAGGUUUACGACCUCGAUGUUGGAUCAGGACACCCAAAUGGUGCAGCCGCUAUUAAAGGUUCGUUUGUUCAACGAUUAAUAGU
rnacentral:rRNA from 1 species